rnacentral:rRNA from 1 species
CGUAGGGGGCAAGCGUUGUCCGGAUUUAUUGGGCGUAAAGAGCGUGUAGGCGGCUUGGCAAGUCCGCUGUGAAAACUCGAGGCUCAACCUCGAGACGUCGGUGGAAACUGCCUCGCUAGAGUCCGGAAGAGGAGAGUGGAAUUCCUGGUGUAGCGGUGAAAUGCGCAGAUAUCAGGAAGAACACCCGUGGCUAAGGCGGCUCUCUAGUACGGUACUGACGCUGAGACGCGAAAGCGUGGGGAGCGAACAGGAUUAGAUACCCUGGUAGUCCACGCCGUAAACGAUGGGUGCUAGGUGUGGGCGGUGUCGACUCCGUCCGUGCCGAAGCUAACACAUUAAGCACCCCGCCUGGGGAGUACGGCCGCAAGGCUA